rnacentral:miRNA from 1 species
UAGUGCUGCAAUGUUAAACAUUGCAGUUCUAAAGAAACUGCAAUGUUUACAUUGCAACUCUA